rnacentral:rRNA from 1 species
UCGAGAAUAUUUAGCAAUGGGCGAAAGCCUGACUAUGCGACGCCGCGUGCAGGAUGAAGGUCUUCGGAUUGUAAACUGCUUUUGUUAGGGGAGAAACCUCCGACGUUAACACCGUCGGAGCUGACGGUACCUGACGAAUAAGCCACGGCAAAGCCUGUGCCAGCAGCCGCGGUAAUACAGGCGUGGCAAGCGUUACUCGGAAUUAUUGGGUGUAAAGGGCAGGUAGGUGGCCUGGUAAGUGAGGGGUGAAAUCCCACGGUUCAAUCGUGGAACAGCCUUUCAAACUGCCUGGCUUGAGUGUGACAGAGGAAGAUGGAAUUCCCGGUGUAAGGGUGAAAUCUGUAGAUAUCGGGAAGAACACCAACGGCGAAGGCAAUCUUCUGGGUCGCUACUGACACUGAGCUGCGAAAGCUAGGGGAGCAAACAGA